AUUCUGCGCAUAUGAUGAAAACUAUGUUGGUAGGGACAUCUGAGAAAAGCUGAUGAAUGCCAACGUUUCUGAUGCCGCAU